rnacentral:rRNA from 1 species
GAACGCGAAGAACCUUACCCACCUUUGACAUGUACGGAAGUCGCUAGAGAUAGCUUCGUGCUCGAAAGAGAGCCGUAACACAGGUGCUGCAUGGCUGUCGUCAGCUCGUGUCGUGAGAUGUUGGGUUAAGUCCCGCAACGAGCGCAACCCUUGCCAUUAGUUGCUACAUUUAGUUGAGCACUCUAAUGGGACUGCCGGUGACAAACCGGAGGAAGGUGGGGAUGACGUCAAGUCCUCAUGGCCCUUAUAGGUGGGGCUACACACGUCAUACAAUGGCUGGUACAAAGGGUUGCCAACCCGCGAGGGGGAGCUAAUCCCAUAAAGCCAGUCGUAGUCCGGAUCGCAGUCUGCAACUCGACUGCGUGAAGUCGGAAUCGCUAGUAAUCGUGGAUCAGAAUGUCACGGUGAAUACGUUCCCGGGUCUUGUACACACC